rnacentral:rRNA from 4 species
GGUUAAGCGACUAAGCGUACACGGUGGAUGCCCUGGCAGUCAGAGGCGAUGAAGGACGUGCUAAUCUGCGAAAAGCGUCGGUAAGGUGAUAUGAACCGUUAUAACCGGCGAUGUCCGAAUGGGGAAACCCAGUGCAAUUCGUUGCACUAUCGUUAACUGAAUACAUAGGUUAACGAGGCGAACCGGGGGAACUGAAACAUCUAAGUACCCCGAGGAAAAGAAAUCAACCGAGAUUCCCCCAGUAGCGGCGAGCGAACGGGGAGCAGCCCAGAGUCUGAAUCAGCUUGUGUGUUAGUGGAACGGUCUGGAAAGUCCGACGGUACAGGGUGAUAGUCCCGUACACCAAAAUGCACAGGCUGUGAACUCGAAGAGUAGGGCGGGACACGUGGUAUCCUGUCUGAAUAUGGGGGGACCAUCCUCCAAGGCUAAAUACUCCUGACUGACCGAUAGUGAACCAGUACCGUGAGGGAAAGGCGAAAAGAACCCCGGCGAGGGGAGUGAAAAAGAACCUGAAACCGUGUACGUACAAGCAGUGGGAGCACCUUCGGGUGUGACUGCGUACCUUUUGUAUAAUGGGUCAGCGACUUAUAUUCUGUAGCAAGGUUAACCGUAUAGGGGAGCCGCAGGGAAACCGAGUCUUAACUGGGCGUUAAGUUGCAGGGUAUAGACCCGAAACCCGGUGAUCUAGCCAUGGGCAGGUUGAAGGUUGGGUAACACUAACUGGAGGACCGAACCGACUAAUGUUGAAAAAUUAGCGGAUGACUUGUGGCUGGGGGUGAAAGGCCAAUCAAACCGGGAGAUAGCUGGUUCUCCCCGAAAGCUAUUUAGGUAGCGCCUCGUGAACUCAUCUUCGGGGGUAGAGCACUGUUUCGGCUAGGGGGUCAUCCCGACUUACCAACCCGAUGCAAACUACGAAUACCGAAGAAUGUUAUCACGGGAGACACACGGCGGGUGCUAACGUCCGUCGUGAAGAGGGAAACAACCCAGACCGCCAGCUAAGGUCCCAAAGUCAUGGUUAAGUGGGAAACGAUGUGGGAAGGCACAGACAGCCAGGAUGUUGGCUUAGAAGCAGCCAUCAUUUAAAGAAAGCGUAAUAGCUCACUGGUCGAGUCGGCCUGCGCGGAAGAUGUAACGGGGCUAAACCAUGCACCGAAGCUGCGGCAGCGACACUAUGUGUUGUUGGGUAGGGGAGCGUUCUGUAAGCCUGCGAAGGUGUGCUGUGAGGCAUGCUGGAGGUAUCAGAAGUGCGAAUGCUGACAUAAGUAACGAUAAAGCGGGUGAAAAGCCCGCUCGCCGGAAGACCAAGGGUUCCUGUCCAACGUUAAUCGGGGCAGGGUGAGUCGACCCCUAAGGCGAGGCCGAAAGGCGUAGUCGAUGGGAAACAGGUUAAUAUUCCUGUACUUGGUGUUACUGCGAAGGGGGGACGGAGAAGGCUAUGUUAGCCGGGCGACGGUUGUCCCGGUUUAAGCAUGUAGGCUGAUUGUCCAGGCAAAUCCGGAUAAUCAAGGCUGAGGUGUGAUGACGAGGCACUACGGUGCUGAAGUAACAAAUGCCCUGCUUCCAGGAAAAGCCUCUAAGCAUCAGGUAACAUUAAAUCGUACCCCAAACCGACACAGGUGGUCAGGUAGAGAAUACCAAGGCGCUUGAGAGAACUCGGGUGAAGGAACUAGGCAAAAUGGUGCCGUAACUUCGGGAGAAGGCACGCUGGUGUGUAGGUGAAGUCCCUGCGGAUGGAGCUGAGACCAGUCGAAGAUACCAGCUGGCUGCAACUGUUUAUUAAAAACACAGCACUGUGCAAACACGAAAGUGGACGUAUACGGUGUGACGCCUGCCCGGUGCCGGAAGGUUAAUUGAUGGGGUUAUCCGUAAGGAGAAGCUCUUGAUCGAAGCCCCGGUAAACGGCGGCCGUAACUAUAACGGUCCUAAGGUAGCGAAAUUCCUUGUCGGGUAAGUUCCGACCUGCACGAAUGGCGUAAUGAUGGCCAGGCUGUCUCCACCCGAGACUCAGUGAAAUUGAACUCGCUGUGAAGAUGCAGUGUACCCGCGGCAAGACGGAAAGACCCCGUGAACCUUUACUAUAGCUUGACACUGAACAUUGAGCCUUGAUGUGUAGGAUAGGUGGGAGGCUUUGAAGCGUGGACGCCAGUCUGCGUGGAGCCAACCUUGAAAUACCACCCUUUAAUGUUUGAUGUUCUAACGUUGGCCCCUGACCGGGGUUGCGGACAGUGUCUGGUGGGUAGUUUGACUGGGGCGGUCUCCUCCCAAAGCGUAACGGAGGAGCACGAAGGUUAGCUAAUCCUGGUCGGACAUCAGGAGGUUAGUGCAAUGGCAUAAGCUAGCUUGACUGCGAGCGUGACGGCGCGAGCAGGUGCGAAAGCAGGUCAUAGUGAUCCGGUGGUUCUGAAUGGAAGGGCCAUCGCUCAACGGAUAAAAGGUACUCCGGGGAUAACAGGCUGAUACCGCCCAAGAGUUCAUAUCGACGGCGGUGUUUGGCACCUCGAUGUCGGCUCAUCACAUCCUGGGGCUGAAGUAGGUCCCAAGGGUAUGGCUGUUCGCCAUUUAAAGUGGUACGCGAGCUGGGUUUAGAACGUCGUGAGACAGUUCGGUCCCUAUCUGCCGUGGGCGCUGGAGAAUUGAGGGGGGCUGCUCCUAGUACGAGAGGACCGGAGUGGACGCAUCACUGGUGUUCGGGUUGUCAUGCCAAUGGCACUGCCCGGUAGCUAAAUGCGGAAGAGAUAAGUGCUGAAAGCAUCUAAGCACGAAACUUGCCCCGAGAUGAGUUCUCCCUGAGACUUUAAGUCUCCUGAAGGAACGUUAAAGACGAUGACGUUGAUAGGCCGGGUGUGUAAGCGCAGCGAUGCGUUGAGCUAACCGGUACUAAUGAACCGUGAGGCUUAACCUU